GAUGAACGCUGGCGGCGUGCCUAAUACAUGCAAGUCGAGCGAACAGACGAGGCGCUUGCUCCUCUGACGUUAGCGGCGGACGGGUGAGUAACACGUGGAUAACCUACCUAUAAGACUGGGAUAACUUCGGGAAACCGGAGCUAAUACCGGAUAAUAUAUUGAACCGCAUGGUUCAAUAGUGAAAGACGGUUUUGCUGUCACUUAUAGAUGGAUCCGCGCCGCAUUAGCUAGUUGGUAAGGUAACGGCUUACCAAGGCGACGAUGCGUAGCCGACCUGAGAGGGUGAUCGGCCACACUGGAACUGAGACACGGUCCAGACUCCUACGGGAGGCGGCAGUAGGGAAUCUUCCGCAAUGGGCGAAAGCCUGACGGAGCAACGCCGCGUGAGUGAUGAAGGUCUUCGGAUCGUAAAGCUCUUUUAUUAGGGAAGAACAAAUGUGUAAGUAACUAUGCCCGUCUUGACGGUACCUAAUCAGAAAGCCACGGCUAACUACGUG
rnacentral:rRNA from 1 species